rnacentral:rRNA from 1 species
GACGUAGGGCGCGAGCGUUGUCCGGAUUUAUUGGGCGUAAAGAGCUCGUAGGCGGCUCGUUGCGUCGGCUGUGAAAACCCGCAGCUCAACUGUGGGCUUGCAGCCGAUACGGGCGGGCUGGAGUUCGGUAGGGGAGACUGGAAUUCCUGGUGUAGCGGUGAAAUGCGCAGAUAUCAGGAGGAACACCGAUGGCGAAGGCAGGUCUCUGGGCCGAUACUGACGCUGAGGAGCGAAAGCGUGGGGAGCGAACAGG